UACAGAGGGGGCAAGCGUUAUUCGGAAUUAUUGGGCGUAAAGGGCGCGUAGGCGGCCUGGCAAGUGGAUGGUGAAAUCCCUCGGCUUAACCGAGGAACUGCCAUCCAGACUGCUUGGCUUGAGACCGGGAGAGGUGAGUGGAAUUCCCAGUGUAGCGGUGAAAUGCGUAGAUAUCGCUUGGAACGCCAAUGGUGAAAACAGCUCGCUGGGGGUGUGCUGACGCUGGAGACACGAAAGCCAGGGGAGGCGAACGGG
rnacentral:rRNA from 1 species